GCCAGAGACAAUAACACGAUGAAUACACCAGUUCCUAAUGGAUAACAGAAGUUGAGCAACGUUGCGCGUGGUUGGUAUCCAGAUGGGUGACCAUCUGGGAGAUCACGCGCUGCUGGCU
rnacentral:rRNA from 1 species